ACAGGAUAAUGUUAAGGUUGCUUCUUCACACAGUCUUUACGAGCAGCUGUAUUCCCACAUAACUCAGAAUUUCAGCAGACACCAAAAAGACUUUCUGUUUAAAUGGAGCAUGCAAGGGUGUAGGAGUUCCAGCAUCUAUUACUCAUUCCUAAUUGCCCAGAGGACAGAUAAGAGUCAACCACACUGCUAUAGGCCAUGAGGCAUAUGUUGGCCAGUAGAGGCCUGGAAGCUGGUUGUCUACUUUGGUGAAUGCCACAUAACCUGCAACAAGGGGAAAGGAAACAAAAUAAAUGAAGAUGUUGGACAGGAAAAGUCAGUGUUGUGAUGUGGAGGUGCUGGUGUUGGACUGGGGUGGAAGAACUCAGAAGUCACACGACUUCCGAAGAAGAAGAAAAUUUCUGAAGAAGGGUCUAGGCCCGAAACGUCAGCCUUCCUGCUCCUCUGAUGCUGCUUGGCCUGCUGUGUUCAUCCAGCUCUACACCUUGUAAUCACAGAAGUCACAUGACACCAGGUUAUAGUCCAACAGGCUUAUUUGAAACCGCAAAUCUUCAGUGCACAGCCCCUUGAUCAGGCCCACAGCAGUGGAUUAGGGAUCUAUUAUGCAGUAUCCAUGAUUAGCCACAUGAUCUAAAGCAUUAUUCUGUGGAAAUGUAAACAAAAUACAUUAAA